CCGACCGGCGCACGGGUGAGUAACACGUAUGAAACCUGCCCGUAGCAGGGGGAUGAGCGGAAGAAAUUCCGUCUAAUACCGCGUAACAACCCAUGGAGGCAUCUCUGUGGGUUUAAAGGAAGCGAUUCCGGCUACGGAUGGUCAUGCGUCGCAUUAGCUUGUUGGCGGGGUAACGGCCCACCAAGGCGACGAUGCGUAGGGGUUCUGAGAGGAAGGUCCCCCACACUGGUACUGAGACACGGACCAGACUCCUACGGAAGGCAGCAG
rnacentral:rRNA from 1 species